rnacentral:lncRNA from 1 species
AUUUCAAAGAAUAUUCCACCUAGGAGAGACCCAGGUCCUGCAGACUUCCUCUGGACACUUUUGGCAGUCAUUGUUCCCAGCUGAUUCUGCAACAGAUGAAGGACGGAGGAUAGAAUCAUGAAUAGCAACAUCUUAAUUGCUGACUGGGUGUUGAUUCUAAGGAUACCCCCAAUAAACAUCUUUCGUGCUAAAGCCCAUUCCAGAAUUUACUUCCCAGCUAUCUUUGAUGUUCAUAUUGUCAGAGGUGGUGGCCGCUGAAACAGGCAAAGACAUGGAGCAUAUCUUGGGUCCAGGACCUUGGGAGUCCAGAGGAAGGUCUUUUUACCAUCAGCAUUCUCUACUGUGUUCAAUGACUGUCAGCCAAAGAUGGCCAGCUUUCCUUCAGAAAGAAAUGCAUUCAAAGAACCUACAUUCACAACAUAAAGAAAUAAAGCCUGCACCUACAGAUCUACACACAUGCCCAUGCACAUGCAGGAAGUGUUCAUCUAAGACUGGACCUUUUAGAAGAAAGCUGGCAUACAUUCGUGAAGGCAUGGGCUUCCAGGCAUGUCAUCUUCACUCACGAAGCACACACAAGACCGCCAAGCAUUAAGAUUCUCCUGUGGAGCCAGGCUACAAUCCUUUAAAUGAAGACAGACAGCUAGGUGGCUGCAGCCCAGCGCUACACCUCACCCCUCCCUCAGUGUCAUGCAGAAAAAAUGUAUUCAGAACUCAGAAGUGAAGUUGUGCAAAUCCAUCAUUGACACUAGCUUCAAGGUUACCUCGGGGGAGCAGAAUGUACCCCUGCCAGAGAGCUGGAUAGAUGAUGAUGGGGACAGAAAUUCUGGGGGAGUUGUAAAUGGCAGCCACUGCCUCUAUAGGAAACCCAAAGGGAACACAGCAGAAGAGGAGGUGGUGGAGGAGCCACUGCCCUCUCGAAGGGUUCAAUGUCAUUCUGCAGACACAACCAAAUAACUUUUUCUUCCCUGCUGCUCCUCCAUUUGAAAUGACAGCCCCGAGCUCGCUUUUUCCUUGAUUGUGUAACUCUGAUUACAGACAAGGCCAAGGCAAUCCCAGGGCAUUACUACAAAGCUAAGGGGUCCCCAAAGAACUAAAGAGUCAGCUCCACAAAAAUCCCGAUUCCUAGCAUGAAACUGAAAUAUGAAACCAAACGGGCAUAGAAAAGGUAUGUGCAUUCGAAUCACAUAGCAGUGACUGGAGUCCUGAGCUGUGUCUGAAGACUGUGAGAUCACGUUUGGAGCUGCUGAUUGGUUUUCAGUGAUGGCCCUGUUGCACAGUGCCGUGAGACUUAGCUCCAUGGCCAAAGACGAUGGUAUCCCCUAGGAGCCCUGUGAGGUUGCUGCUGUUCUCUUAAGACACCAGGUAGCCAUCUGAUCCUCCCUGAGCAAACUAACUGGGCAGACAGGUUUAUUAAACCUCUGUUGGUCCGACUUACAUGAAACAAGAGAGUUAUUUUGUUGUUGUUGUUUUGUUUUGUUUUAAAUUAAAC